CUAUAUCACAACUCUAAGAAGUGCUGCUGCCUCACAAAUGAAAAUAAUGGGUUUGGUCAAAGAGUCGUAACUUCUAACCAGAAACUGAACACAGUGGUUGUGACUUAUCACAGAUUCAGCUUUCUCUGUAUCUUACUGGCUUAAUUUGUGGUAGAAUUAUAUUUUUUGACUACAUGAUGUCGAGACCCUGAUCCACGUCAAUUUCCUAAAUUUCCUCUGGUGUCCUGUCGUUUUGAGCCCCGUGCUCACAGUCGAGACACAGUUUCCCAUCUACGAGGUGUCACCACCUGCUGAGUGUUCUCAGAACCAGGAACCGGACCCUCACCAGACCACUCAGGCUGCACAGAGAUCCCAACCAACCUCUGCGUUCAAAGCGGAGCCCUGUCCUUUCCCAGGUCAGCGACAUCCUGGGAGCCAGUCACCAUGGCGAGGCCUCCCCGCUUAGCCGGCCUUCGGAGCUCUUCGCCACGUGGCGCGCUUUCCCCUUCCGCUUCCCCUCCAUCCGGCACCGCAGCCCUCUGAACAAUCCUGUGCUUCUGGCCGCCUCCACCUUCUGCCCCUGCGGCGCCUUCUGCCUGGACACCCACCCCUCCGCACUUGCAGGAACCGCGUCCUCUGUGGGUCUCUCAGCCAGAACCAUCUCCUGCUGCCCCCACAGCGCUCAGGGUCUCACCAGUGCCUGCAAAGCCACCUGUGGCCGUCACCUCAAUGUUAGAAAUGAUAGGUGCCCCGGUGAGAAGUCUGCGUGUAUAGACGGCAGCCACUGUGAGCGCCGCGUGCCGGCUUCACCGCACUUCUCCCGCUGUGAGCGCCGCACGUUCUGUAUCACAUACAGCGACUUACUCCCAGGAAAACCUGCUCCCAAGUCCCACCGUGUGGCAGAUUUAGGGAUGGGACAAGUAGGAAGGGAAGGCCUGUCCUUUAAUCAUACAUCUGGCACACUUGAGGUGAGGCCAAAAGGAACAGACAAGCAGAGGAGAGAUUAGAAGCGUGUCCCCAACUGGUUCUCCAUGCGUGCAGGCAGUCUCUAAGAAAAUCAAUAAAAGGACGUUGCAAACUACA
ensembl:lncRNA